UGCAUCGGCCGGGAAUCGAUCCCGGGGCGCCCGCGUGGCAGGCGAGCAUUCUACCACUGAACCGAAAGUAAAC
rnacentral:tRNA from 1 species